AGCUAAUAUGAAUGAUGUGAUGUUUACAACUAAUUGAUUACAACCAGUUACAGAUUUCUUUGUCCCUUUUCCAUGCCCACUGCUUCACCUGACUAGCCUUAA
ensembl:misc_RNA Y_RNA Y RNA